rnacentral:rRNA from 1 species
UACAGAGGUCUCAAGCGUUGUUCGGAUUCAUUGGGCGUAAAGGGUGCGUAGGUGGCGCGGUAAGUCGGGUGUGAAAUCUCGGAGCUUAACUCCGAAAUUGCAUUCGAUACUGCCGUGCUCGAGGACUGGAGAGGAGACUGGAAUUCAUGGUGUAGCAGUGAAAAUUGCGUAGAGAUCAUGAGGGAAGACCGUGGCGAAGGCGGGGUCUCUGG